UUUUUACUUUUACCAAAUUUUAGGGUUUGGCAAAACUUUUCACCAGCCAACAUCCAUCAACUCUCCUACCCCUCCAGGAUCAUCGCCACUGUCACCUGCAAUGACACCACCAUCACGCACCACCAUCACCGGCUCUCCGACUGUCCCCUGUGUCACAUGUUUAUGAGUGUUUGUUUACACAAGUUGCACAAAAUUUAUCUACUGUAAGGCCUAGUGAGCCGGCUUCCUAGUACUAUAUCAAGACUGGGACUUGCCGCAUUAGAUCCAAUUGCAAGUAUAAUCACCCUAGACGAAGGAGGAUGACUUUGACAAAGGAUUCACUGGAAGCCAAUCAUCAGUGCAUGGACUUGGAGCCAAACUUGGCUUGAGAUAAUGAAGGCAGGACUGAGAAGAAGAUGGUUGAGACUACUUCUCAGACAUUAUCAAAUGUUUCGCAAUCUUCACCACUUGAUAUAGAUGCUAUGUACUUGGAGGCUUCUGGUGGAGAAAAAAGAGGAAAGUUUAUAGUUUUGGUUCUCACGCAUCAAGCUUGUAUCAAGAGUCAGUUUGUAGUGAUGUACAUCAGCCCCCUGGCCAUCAUCUUCAUCAUCUAUGAUUCCUCCAAAGAUUGUGUUUGAGAUGGAGGGCAUGAAAAAUAAAAUGAUAGACUUGGAAGAGAAAAACCAAAGUUUGAUGCAACAAAACAAGAACAUGAUGAGACAGAUGCAUCGUGAGUGGAAGCGUAUGCGAAUGAUGAUGCAGUCCAAACCAGGCCAAACAUCGCAGCCUUAUGAGGAAAAGGAAGAUCAG